UAUUUCCCAAAUCUAAAUAUUUCCUCCCCUUCCCCCUAUUCCAGAGACCAGACCACCACAUCAUGCUGGGUGUUAGAUAAAUAUGGUUAAUCUUCUUCUUAUUUAUCCUAACAAGCAGAUAUUUAAAGGAAAUUAUCAACUAAGCAAGAAAUUUUCAGAAAGUAAGAUGUGUAUUUGUUCAAAUACUGGCUUUUCACAGGAAAGUGUAUUUUACCACAUUCUUUACUUGAGCAUACUGUAACCUCUGCAAAAGUUACACAUUUUGGGGAGAAAAAAAUUUUUUUGGCAAAAAUUGUAUUACUGACCAAGCUUUGAAAAAAAUGUUAUUCUAUGCUUGUAGAAAAGUUAUUUUAGUGGAAGGUGUUGAUAAUUAAGUAGAAGUAGCUGUAUGCUUUGAGAAGCAUACCUUUUUUCUUUCAUCAAUGGAACUUGAAAAAGUUUCUCACUCACCCGUUUCCUAAACAGAUCAGUGCAUUGUUGAUGACAUCACUUACAAUGUGAAUGACACAUUCCACAAGCGUCAUGAAGAGGGGCACAUGCUGAACUGUACAUGCUUCGGUCAGGGUCGGGGAAGAUGGAAGUGUGAUCCCGUCGACCAAUGCCAGGAUUCAGAGACUGGGACGUUUUAUCAAAUUGGAGAUUCAUGGGAGAAGUAUGUGCAUGGUGUCAGAUACCAGUGCUACUGCUAUGG
rnacentral:sRNA from 1 species